rnacentral:sRNA from 1 species
CCUUGCUGCGCCGGUACAACAUCCCGCACGGGCCUGUAGUAGGAUCAACUCGUAGGCUUUACGAGAAGAAGAUCUUCGAGUACGAGACCCAGAGGCGGCGGCUCUCGCCCCCCAGCUCGUCCGCCGCUUCCUCUUAUAGCUUCUCUGACUUGAAUUCGACUAGAGGGAAUGCAAAUAUGUAUGAUCUUCCCAAGAAAGAGGACGCUUUACUCUACCAGAGCAAGGGCUACAAUGACGACUACUAUGAAGAGAGCUACUUCACUACCAGGACUUAUGGGGAGCCCGAGUCUGCAAGCCCGUCCAGGGCCGUCCGCCAGUCAGUGACUUCAUUCCCAGAUGCUGACGCUUUCCACCACCAGGUGCGUGAUGAAGAUCUUUUGUCUUCUUCUGAAGAGGAGUGCAAGGAUAGGUACGUAGUGGGGAAGCCCAGGGACGGGCUGGUUCUGGGCCCAGGCUCCUGGCCCACUUGCUCCCCUCUUUUGCCUCAGGGAACGCCCCAUG